UGGGGGAUAUUGCACAAUGGGCGAAAGCCUGAUGCAGCAACGCCGCGUGAGGGAAGACGGUUUUCGGAUUGUAAACCUCUGUCUUUGGUGACGAAAAAAAUGACGGUAGCCAAGGAGGAAGCCACGGCUAACUACGUGCCAGCAGCCGCGGUAAUACGUAGGUGGCGAGCGUUGUCCGGAAUUACUGGGUGUAAAGGGAGCGCAGGCGGGAAGACAAGUCAGCUGUGAAAACUAUGGGCUUAACCCAUAGAGUGCAGUUGAAACUGUUUUUCUUGAGUGGAGUAGAGGCAGGCGGAAUUCCGAGUGUAGCGGUGAAAUGCGUAGAUAUUCGGAGGAACACCAGUGGCGAAGGCGGCCUGCUGGGCUUUAACUGACGCUGAGGCUCGAAAGUGUGGGGAGCAAACA
rnacentral:rRNA from 1 species